UCGAGAAUCAUUCACAAUGGGGGAAACCCUGAUGGUGCGACGCCGCGUGGGGGAAUGAAGGUCUUCGGAUUGUAAACCCCUGUCAUGUGGGAGCAAAUUAAAAAGAUAGUACCACAAGAGGAAGAGACGGCUAACUCUGUGCCAGCAGCCGCGGUAAUACAGAGGUCUCAAGCGUUGUUCGGAAUCACUGGGCGUAAAGCGUGCGUAGGCGGUUUCGUAAGUCGUGUGUGAAAGGCGGGGGCUCAACCCCCGGACUGCACAUGAUACUGCGAGACUAGAGUAAUGGAGGGGGAACCGGAAUUCUCGGUGUAGCAGUGAAAUGCGUAGAUAUCGAGAGGAACACUCGUGGCGAAGGCGGGUUCCUGGACAUUAACUGACGCUGAGGCACGAAGGCCAGGGGAGCGAAAGGG
rnacentral:rRNA from 3 species